rnacentral:rRNA from 1 species
UGAGGAAUAUUGGUCAAUGGGCGAGAGCCUGAACCAGCCAAGUAGCGUGCAGGAUGACGGCCCUAUGGGUUGUAAACUGCUUUUAUGUGGGGAUAAAGUGCGUGACGUGUCAUGCAUUGCAGGUACCACAUGAAUAAGGACCGGCUAAUUCCGUGCCAGCAGCCGCGGUAAUACGGAAGGUCCGGGCGUUAUCCGGAUUUAUUGGGUUUAAAGGGAGCGUAGGCUGUCUAUUAAGCGUGUUGUGAAAUAUACCGGCUCAACCGGUGGCUUGCAGCGCGAACUGGUCGACUUGAGUAUGCAGGAAGUAGGCGGAAUUCAUGGUGUAGCGGUGAAAUGCUUAGAUAUCAUGACGAACUCCGAUUGCGCAGGCAGCUUACUGUAGCAUAACUGACGCUGAUGCUCGAAGGUGCGGGUAUCAAACAGG